rnacentral:rRNA from 1 species
UAGUGGCGGACGGGUGAGUAACACGUGAGCAACCUGCCGAAGAGUGGGGAUAACGUCUGGAAACGGACGCUAAUACCGCAUAACAUGUCUGGAUGGCAUCAUCUGGAUAUCAAAGGAGUAAUCCGCUCUUUGAUGGGCUCGCGCCCGAUUAGGUAGUUGGUGGGGUAAUGGCCCACCAAGCCGACGAUCGGUAGCCGGACUGAGAGGUUGAUCGGCCACAUUGGGACUGAGACACGGCCCAG